GACGAACGCUGGCGGCGUGCCUAAUACAUGCAAGUAGAACGCUGAAGAGAGGAGCUUGCUCUUCUUGGAUGAGUUGCGAACGGGUGAGUAACGCGUAGGUAACCUGCCUGGUAGUGGGGGAUAACUAUUGGAAACGAUAGCUAAUACCGCAUAAUAGCAGUUAUUGCAUGAUAACUGUUUGAAAGGUGCAAAUGCAUCACUACCAGAUGGACCUGCGUUGUAUUAGCUAGUUGGUGGGGUAACGGCUCACCAAGGCGACGAUACAUAGCCGACCUGAGAGGGUGAUCGGCCACACUGGGACUGAGACACGGCCCAGACUCCUACGGGAGGCAGCAGUAGGGAAUCUUCGGCAAUGGACGGAAGUCUGACCGAGCAACGCCGCGUGAGUGAAGAAGGUUUUCGGAUCGUAAAGCUCUGUUGUAAGAGAAGAACGAGUGUGAGAGUGGAAAGUUCACACUGUGACGUAUCUACCAGAA
rnacentral:rRNA from 1 species